rnacentral:rRNA from 1 species
GACGAACGCUGGCGGCGUGCUUAACACAUGCAAGUCGAGCGGUAAGGCCCUUUCGGGGGUACGACGAGCGGCGAACGGGUGAGUAACACGUGGGUGACCUGCCCUCAGCUCUGGGAUAAGCCUGGGAAACCGGGUCUAAUACUGGAUAUGACUCCAUGACGCAUGUUGUGGGGUGGAAAGCCUUGUGCGGCUGAGGAUGGGCCCGCGGCCUAUCAGCUUGUUGGUGGGGUGANGGCCUACCAAGGCGACGACGGGUAGCCGGCCUGAGAGGGCGACCGGCCACACUGGGACUGAGACACGGCCCAGACUCCUACGGGAGGCAGCAGUGGGGAAUCUUGCGCAAUGGGCGAAAGCCUGACGCAGCGACGCCGCGUGAGGGAUGACGGCCGU